rnacentral:rRNA from 1 species
AUGGUACAUACACGCCUCAAACCGAGCCCUGUAGUCUGUGACUUAACGCAGUUUGUUUUAACUGAAGACUUUGGUCAUCUGACCACAUACUCAGUCCUGACCAAAUUCAGUCACCAGUGCUCCCAUGAACUCGUCCCACUUGGCACGCCCAUGCAGACGCUUGUAUGCUUGGAACCAAAGCGCUGCCAACCCAUCCAAGGAUGUAUAGUGUCGUCGUGCUUACGCAGUGAUGUUCCGGCACACAUGAUACAUCUAACAUCUCGAAACAUGUCAGGCAUUGAUCUAUCCACAGGAGAGGGGUCACACCAUGAAAUUGAGGGAAAUCAUGUUGUGGCUGCCGCAGAUGAUACUCCUCAUGCUCGAUUGUGGUGUGGCAGGUGGGGCUUUCCUCCAGCUCAUGAGGCGAGGAAGGAGCAGUGUGGUAGCCUGCCGGUUGCUGCUGCGAGAUAUGUAGCAGCGGCGGCGCGGUUCCCUUGUCGGCUUGUGGAGGGGCGGUAG